GCUUUUAAUGAAGAUGAAGGUAGUUCUUAGCCAUUUUCACCAGUGACAACAUUGGAUUUACUUACCUCUUUAUCGUCAUGGUGAAAAAAUAAGUGAUCGGUACCAUGGAUCCGCAUCUUACGUUACCUUCUACUUGGAAGCCUUAUCAAGAGCCAGCACAGCAAUUGUGAUUUAUUGCAUUUAUAAACAGCAUACACGGACAGUAUGGGUUGUGAGGUGGUUAUUCGUUCGGCCUUACUGUAAAUUUGGCUUGUUGUAUACAAGUAAUAUACUUAAUACGCAAAGUGGACCAUUGCCUUUAGGGGUUCUUGAGAAUGGUAAUUGGAAGUUGGAGAUGCUUGACCAUCGCUUUGACCUCCAUUUAAGGCGAUCAUCUUCGACAGCAGCAACAACAACAUUGGGUUUAAUUUGAGCAGC